AUAGCGUAUAUUAAAGUUGUUGUGGUUAAAAAGCUCGUAGUUGGAUCUCGGUUUCGGGUGAAUGGUGCAUCUUGCGGUGUUUACUAUUUACUCGGACGAUUUUGUUAGUUUGUUCCUGGUUCUCUUAACCGAGUGCCUUGAGUGGCUAACACGUUUACUUUGAAAAAAUUGGAGUGCUCAAAGCAGGCGCUACAGCCUGAACAUUAGUGCAUGGAAUAAUGGAAUAGGAUCUCGGUUCUAUUUCGUUGGCUUUCGGAGUCGAGGUAAUGAUUAAUAGGGACAGACGGGGGCAUUCGUACUGCGACGUUAGAGGUGAAAUUCUUGGAUCGUCGCAAGACGAACUACUG
rnacentral:rRNA from 1 species